rnacentral:rRNA from 1 species
ACGCUAGCUACUGGCUUAACACAUGCAAGUCGAGGGGAAACGGCAUUAAGUGCUUGCACUUUUUGGACGUCGACCGGCGCACGGGUGAGUAACGCGUAUCCAACCUUCCCAUGACUAAGGGAUAACCUGCCGAAAGGCAGACUAAUACCUUAUGGUCUUCACUGACGGCAUCAGAUGUGAAGUAAAGAUUUAUCGGUUAUGGAUGGGGAUGCGUCUGAUUAGCUUGUUGGCGGGGUAACGGCCCACCAAGGCAAUGAUCAGUAGGGGUUCUGAGAGGAAGGUCCCCCACAUUGGAACUGAGACACGGUCCAAACUCCUACGGGAGGCAGCAGUGAGGAAUAUUGGUCAAUGGGCGAGAGCCUGAACCAGCCAAGUAGCGUGCAGGAUGACGGCCCUAUGGGUUGUAAACUGCUUUUGUAUGGGGAUAAAGUCAGUCACGUGUGAUUGUUUGCAGGUACCAUACGAAUAAGGACCGGCUAAUUCCGUGCCAGCAGCCGCGGUAAUACGGAAGGUCCGGGCGUUAUCCGGAUUUAUUGGGUUUAAAGGGAGCGUAGGCUGGAGAUUAAGUGUGUUGUGAAAUGUAGACGCUCAACGUCUGACUUGCAGCGCAUACUGGUUUCCUUGAGUACGCACAACGUUGGCGGAAUUCGUCGUGUAGCGGUGAAAUGCUUAGAUAUGACGGAGAACUCCGAUUGCGAAGGCAGCUGACGGGAGCGCAACUGACGCUGAAGCUCGAAGGUGCGGGUAUCGAACAGGAUUAGAUACCCUGGUAGUCCGCACAGUAAACGAUGGAUGCCCGCUGUUGGUACCUGGUAUCAGCGGCUAAGCGAAAGCAUUAAGCAUCCCACCUGGGGAGUACGCCGGCAACGGUGAAACUCAAAGGAAUUGACGGGGGCCCGCACAAGCGGAGGAACAUGUG